rnacentral:rRNA from 1 species
GAAGUCAUCAAUCCCAUGCUGCCAAGAAAAGCCCAACAGUGAGUUGGCACGGCACCCGUACCCCAAACCGACACAGGUGGGCGGGUAGAGAAUACCAAGGCGAUCGGGAGAACUAUGGUUAAGGAACUCGGCAAAUUACAUCCGUAACUUCGGGAGAAGGAUGACCCUAUUAGGGUGAAGGGACUUGCUCCCCGAACUCGAGAGGGUGACACAAACCAGGGGGUACCGACUGUUUACCAAAAACACAGCAGCGUGCUGAGCCGCAAGGCGCUGUAUACGCUGUGACGCCCGCCCAAUGCUGGAAGGUCACGGGGAACGGUUAGUCGAAAGGCGAAGCUGUGAACCUAAGCCCCAGUGAAUGGCGGCCGUAACUAUAACGGUCCUAAGGUAGCGAAAUUCCUUGUCGGGUAAGUUCCGACCUGCACGAAUGGCGUAACGACUUCCGCACUGUCUCAACCAUAGACCCGGCGAAAUUGAAGUACGAGUAAAGAUGCUCGUUAGCUGCGGAAGGACGGAAAGACCCCAUGGACCUUUACUACAACUUGAUAUUGAGCUUUGUCCUGCAUUGUGUAGGAUAGGUGGGAGACUUGGAAGCUGUGGCGCUAGCCAUGGUGGAGUCAUCGUUGAAAUACCACCCUGUGUAUGACGGGGCUCUAACCUAGGUCCAUUAUCUGGAUCAGGAACAGUGUCAGGCUGGUAGUUUGACUGGGGCGGUCGCCUCCUGAAAUGUAACGGAGGCGCCCAAAGGUUCCCUCAGGCUGGUUGGCAAUCAGCCGUCGAGUGCAAUGGCACAAGGGAGCUUGACUGCGAGACCUACAAGUCAAGCAGGUGCGAAAGCAGGGCAUAGUGACCCGGCCAUCACGUGUGGAAGUGUGGUCGCUCAACGGAUAAAAGGUACCCUGGGGAUAACAGGCUAAUCUUUCCCAAGAGUCCAUAUCGACGGAAAGGUUUGGCACCUCGAUGUCGGCUCAUCGCAUCCUGGGGCUGAAGCAGGUCCCAAGGGUUGGGCUGUUCGCCCAUUAAAGCGGUACGCGAGCUGGGUUCAGAACGUCGUGAGACAGUUCGGUCCCUAUCCUCCGCAGCCGAAGGUGUAUUGAGGAAGGCUGUCCCUAGUACGAGAGGACCGGGACGGACGGAGCUCUGGUGUGUCUGUUGUCCUGCCAAGGGCAUGGCAGAUUAGCCACCUCCGGAAGGGAUAACUGCUGAAAGCAUCUAAGUAGGAAACCCGUUCCAAGAUGAGUACACCCAUGCGGUUAACGCAGUAAGGCCCGUGACAAGACCAUCACGUUGAUAGGCCGGAGGUGUAAGCACGGUAACGUGUGUAGCCGACCGGUACUAAUCGGCCGAGGGCUUGGAUUA